rnacentral:rRNA from 1 species
GACGAACGCUGGCGGCGUGCUUAACACAUGCAAGUCGAACGGAAAGGCCCUGCUUUUGUGGGGUGCUCGAGUGGCGAACGGGUGAGUAACACGUGAGUAACCUGCCCUUGACUUUGGGAUAACUUCAGGAAACUUGGUCUAAUACCGGAUAGGAGCUCCUGCUGCAUGGUGGGGGUUGGAAAGUUUCGGCUGUUGGGGAUGGACUCGCGGCUUAUCAGCUUGUUGGUGGGGUAGUGGCUUACCAAGGCUUUGACGGGUAGCCGGCCUGAGAGGGUGACCGGCCACAUUGGGACUGAGAUACGGCCCAGACUCCUACGGGAGGCAGCAGUGGGGAAUAUUGCACAAUGGGCGGAAGCCUGAUGCAGCAACGCCGCGUGCGGAAUGACGGCCUUCGGGUUGUAAACCGCUUUCGCCUGUGACGAAGCGUGAGUGACGGUAAUGGGUAAAGAAGCACCGGCUAACUACGUG